UGGUAGGGUGCCGAAGUCGGUCCGGCGAGUGGAGCGUUGCGUCCAGUUGUCUGGCACCUCGACGACCCGCAACUGGCGAGCACCAUAAUACAACGUCUUGAUAUUGAAGAUCCAUGAUUCAUAGCACAGAAAGGUAAAAAACUGGCUGGGAAUGCAUUGUAUCCGCAACAAAAAUCUGCUUGACGGUGAUGUUUGUGAUGAGAACAUUGUCAUAUUUCUACCGCGGCAAAAAUCAGUCAAUUUAUUCGUAGAUACUGUAGAGAAUAUUAUUACACUCGGUAAGAUUAAUUGUCAAAAAUGUAUAAUGAAAAAUUAAAAGGAAAUUAUAUACUUCAUUUAUAAGCA